CCCAAAGGCAGUGCCGAGGAGACCCCUCAGGACUAAAGUAUGUGCCUCUAGUUGCCAAAACACCUGCACAUGUCACAAUGUUUCAUUUGAUUUUAGUUUGUCUCUGAGGUUUUAGAUCUGAAUGUGAUGGAUGGUUCAUGUUUUCACUGCUGGCAAUGGCAAAAAUAACUCUCCCUGUAAUCCAUUUCUUCAAUUAAACUCUUAUUAAAGUUAUUAAAUUUCAGUUAUCUAUGCCUUAAAGAAGACAAACAAACUACAACAGUAUUUUUUACUAGCCUAUUUGUAGCCUACUGCAUUUAAAAGAAAAAUCCUUAAUUUAAUGACAGAACAUGGAAAAUAACAAAACAGAUUUCAACAGUACUUUUAUACUUUUAAAUGUUCUUUUAUUUCGAGAAAUGUUUUUUCAUCUCGGAAUCUGUGGAACCCCUCUGUCUUCCUGAGAAUUAGAAUGGUUAUCUGUAAACAAGUUGAAAAAUAUUUUUUUUAAUCUUAACACAAUUUAAGAAACAUUGUGCCUUGUGCAAGUCAUUUUUAAAUGACAAGAGUAAUUUUUUUUUAAUUUUUAUUUAUAAGAGCUGUGGGAAAGACAGCGCUUUUUCUGGCUCUGUUAAGCUGUGAAGUGCCGGGUCACGUGACCUUCCAGCCGCAGCUCAUGCCAGCAAUACUGAAGAUUGAACCCCUACAGGUUAUUUGGUGUGAGUUUCAUUUGGGCAGAGUAGGAGCUUGUAAACGAGUCUCAUGUGUGGGACGAUCUGUUGUACGCAUUUGGGUGCACGUCUCAUAUUCGUGUACAUGUAUGCUUUUCAAGUGGUGAAAGAGAUUGCUGGUGUUUCCACCUUUGGCUGCAACAACACUGCGACACAGGUCGAUGUCAGAGAUUUUGAACCCAAACCAGUUCCAUACGACAGAGGAGCCCCCCCCCCUUUUUUUAAACUAAUUCCUACUCGUGCUGUUCAACAAUCUCAUUUUCUGUGCAUUCGCUCAUCUUUUUCACUCAAAUCUCACUUUCAAUCUCAUGAAUUCGCGAACGCAAGCUGCAGUUUCUUAUGCACACUUGAUUGUUGCUGUGGCGAGUUUGAGUAACGUUCGGCGGGUUGUGCUAUAGGCUAACUUGGACUGUUACGGCGCUCUCUGUUUCAUUACUAAUGCCUGUGUAGAGAGAAGUUGGACAUAGAGGACAAAAGAUUAAACGUUCAAACUCGACAUAUCUUCAUUAGCAGUGUAAACGGAUGACAAAUUGAACAAAAUGUUAUAAAUGCAAAAUUAGAGUUCACGAAUGCACGAUAUAGCAAAAUUCAUAUCAUGGCGCAAAAUAAUACCGGUUGUCACGUACAUAACGGUAUAUUGCCCAGUCCUAUUACACAUAAUCUUUUUCUGUUACACAUAUUUCUCUUUCUGUUGCACAUUAACUUAGUUGGAUGGAUCCUACUUAAUCUGGCAUAAUAUCUUGUGAAACCCGGGCUGUUCUUUAUAAAAAGCCCAAAAUCCAUGCCAGUCUGCAGAGACAAAUAUGAAAAAGAUAUUAAUCACUGUAACUUUCGCUGUUAUAGCAGUGAAAACAUGAACCAUCACAUUCAGAUCUGAAACUUCAGAGACAAACUGAAAUCAAAUUUGGUCUCCAAAUGGUCUCCUCGGCGCUGCCGUUGGGGGACACGGUUGAACAGGUCUGGAUGGUGGGAAACUUGGCAGAAGUGGAAGUGACCCUGCAAACAAGCCAGAACAAGACAAUUAAUUUAAAUAUGCAUUUGCAACAAUUGGGCAUUAGACGUUUAAACAGUCCAUGAAGACAUGAGGUAAAGACUUAAGAUCAUUUGAGGUUCUGUGAUGUAAACGGUUUAGUGAUCCUCGUAUCUCUCCUACAAUAUGUGAAGCUCACUCACCUCCGGGGGUCUCCAGGCCUGAAAGAAGCAGCCGAGGGCGCAAAGGCUCAAGCUGAGGGCGCCCUCUAUUGAGCAGUUGAGGCAGUGUCAACUGCAGAAGCAAAAUGCUUACUGCAGACACUGUGUCCCUCGCAGGCAUUUUACAAUUUUGUUAUUAAGUUUAGAACUAUAUUAAAAUGACCUUUAUGGUUACCAUUAGCCUGUUAAAGCAUUGAAUCAGUCGCUAAUAACUUUACAGUGACUGUUUAUUUAUUACCUUUCACGCGGCCUGUUUCCUCCUCCACAGGUCCACCGCAGACAGAGGUUACCGCAGGAUGCAGUUCAUGCCCAGACCUGAUGGCAGAGCUGAGAAUGGGAAGCGGUGACCUGACAAGUGCUAAGAGGAUAGAGCUGGAUAAAGGACGCGACAACUUUGUUUUUUCUACAACAUUUCAAAUGCUAUUAGAUUGUUAAUGAUAAUCUUUAAUUUUUAUAUUUUUAUUAAGCCUUGUUGUGCAAGCACUGAUGAGCUUGUGCAGAGGCAGCAGCUUUUGCCAGAGGGGAACUGGAAUCCCCUGGUUGGGCCUGGGUUCCCCUGAGGUUUUUUUUCUCGAUGGGAGUUUUGGGUUCCUCACCACCGUUUGCAUAUUGUUUUGCACUAUCUGCCUGGCCGGGGGGGCUGCUUUAGAAUUCAUACUUGUAUUAAAUGUGUCUCAUGUACAGCUGCUUUGUAACAAUGAAAAUUGUAAAAAGCGCUAUAUAAAUAAAGUUGAGUUGAGUUGAGUA